AAUAACCUUCAGGAUUCUCUCUCC
rnacentral:piRNA from 1 species